UCGAGGUGUUAAAAUCGUAAGCUAAACGGGAAAAAUUUUAUUUUUUUGCGUAAAAAUUAAAAAAAUCUUUUUAAAAAAUCUAAAAAAAAUUAUAAAUUCGAAAAAAGGAAAAAUUUUAAACAAGUAAAACAAAGUUAAUACUAUUUAAUAAAACGAAAUAAUUUUUUUUAAAUUUAAAGCAUAUCAAAUUUUAUUUAUAAAGGAAAUAUAGCAAAGCAUACAAAAUUUUUUCUAAAAGCCAAAUAAAAGUGUUUUUUUUAUAGAAAUUAUAAAAUAAAUUUCUUAAAGUUUUAAACAAGUUUUAAGCUUUUUGUGGGUUUUACUUAAAACAUAAAGCAAAUUUCUUAAUUAUUUUUCAUUAAAAAAGAAAAUUAGUGAUUUUAAUUAACAAUUACUUGAGCAACGAGUAUAACUCAAUUUUCAAAAAUUAAAGAGAGUGAGUUGAGGAGUGUUGGUGGUUAAUUGUUUACUGCAUAUAGUGAUUAUUUUCAUAGAAUAUUUGCAGCGUAUUUUGAAAAACAAUCAAAUAUUUUUGAAUCCUAAGAUUUUCGCCAAACAUUUGUAUCUACAUUUGGAAAACUUAACGAAGUAAG